rnacentral:rRNA from 1 species
GACGAACGCUGGCGGUGUGCUUAAGACAUGCAAGUCGUGCGGACCGUAGCAAUACGGUCAGCGGCGGACGGGUGAGUAACACGUGGAUAACCUGCCUGGCUCCCCGGGAUAACAGGCCGAAAGGCCUGCUAAUACCGGGUAAGCUCACGGGGCCGCAUGGUCCUGGGAGAAAAGCUCCUGCAAGGGAGUGGGGUCAGAGGGGUCCGCGGCCCAUUAGCUAGUUGGGGGGGUAACGGCCCACCAAGGCGACGAUGGGUAGCCGGCCUGAGAGGGCGACCGGCCACACUGGGACUGAGACACGGCCCAGACUCCUACGGGAGGCAGCAGUCGGGAAUUUUGGGCAAUGGCCGAAAGGGCUGACCCAGCAACACCGCGUGAGUGAAGAAGGCCUUCGGGUUGUAAAGCUCUGUUGCCCGUGAAGAACGGUGCUUUCAGGAGAUGGGAAGCACUUGACGGUAGCGGGUGAGGAAGCUCCGGCUAACUACGUGCCAGCAGCCGCGGUAAUACGUAGGGAGCGAGCGUUGUCCGGAUUUAUUGGGCGUAAAGGGCGUGUAGGCGGCUUUUUAAGUCUGAAGUGAAACGCCAGGGCUCAACCCUGGAACUGCUUCGGAUACUGGGAAGCUUGAGUACUCUAGAGGGCAGUGGAAUUCCGGGUGUAGCAGUGAAAUGCGUAGAGAUCCGGAGGAACACCAGUGGCGAAGGCGACUGCCUGGGGAGAAACUGACGCUGAGGCGCGAAAGCUGGGGGAGCAAACGGGAUUAGAUACCCCGGUAGUCCCAGCCGUAAACGAUGAGUGCUAGGUGUAGGGGGUAUCGACCCCCCCUGUGCCGGAGUUAACGCAAUAAGCACUCCGCCUGGGGAGUACGGCCGCAAGGUUG